rnacentral:rRNA from 1 species
UACAGGGGGGGCAAGCGUUGUUCGGAAUUACUGGGCGUAAAGGGCUCGUAGGUGGCCAACUAAGUCAGACGUGAAAUCCCUCAGCUUAACUGGGGAACUGCGUCGGAUACUGGUUGGCUUGAAUCCGGGAGAGGGAUGCGGAAUUCCAGGUGUAGCGGUGAAAUGCGUAGAUAUCUGGAGGAACACCGGUGGCGAAGGCGGCAUCCUGGACCGGCAUUGACGCUGAACAGCGAAAGCCAGGGGAGCAAACGGG